GGAGUACCAACUUGGUGCAACCCAGUAGAAAUGUAACCCAUAGCUAUAUUCUUACCCAGAGUAGGAGAAGGACAGCCAGAGGUUACUUGGCCAACCUCCACACCAUCAACUUCGACCGCGCUUCCAUGACGAGCAGGGACUUUUUCAACGAUGAAACCAACUCGACGACGUGAAGGGCCAUCUUUAAGCUCCUUUAAGAUUCGACUACUGCCAACGAAACCACCUUCUUUUCUUCUACGCUUACCAAUAAUCCAGGACAAGGAACCCUCAACUGGAGAGGUCGUGUCAUCGAUAUCACUUCCAUAAAGGCACAUUCCCGCUUCUAAACGUAAGGUAUCGCGGGCUCCAAGUCCAAUUGGACGAACUCUAGUAUCAGCCAACAAAGUGCUUGCAAAGUCAACAGAAACUUCUUCUGGUAUGGAUACCUCAAACCCAUCUUCUCCUGUAUAUCCACUGCGAGAAAAGAGGCAUUUAACUCCCUUAAAGUCCACGUAUGCAGACUGACCAAACUUGAGUACAGAAAAAUCGACAUUUGGGAUUAAUUUUUGAACGACAGAAGCAGUCUCGGGUCCCUGAAUAGCGAUUAAAGCUCUCCCUUGGACCCUUUCUAAUUCGACGCCCUUCCAAUUUUCGAUGUGCUUUUUAAGGUUGGCUUCAUCCUUCUCACUACAAGCAGCAUUGGUGACAAUAUAAUAAGUAUUUUCAUCUUGUUUACUGAUAAUCGUGUCAUCAAUGAUGCCACCCGUUUCGUUUGUAAAGGCACUCAAUGUAGAAUGAAAAGGCUUCAAUUCCUUCAACGAAGAAGGUGUGAUACUUUCCAAAUAAGCAGUAGCAUUUUCACCUCUCACAAACCAUUGGACCAUAUGGCUUACAUCAAAUAAGCCAGAAUGCUCCCGUGUCCACUUAUGACUGGCACUAAUGGUUUGACCUUUAUACUGUACUGGCAUUGAAAAACCAGCAAAGGGGACUAUGGUAGCUCCUUCUUUUAAAUGCAGAUCAUAUAAAGGAGUUCUCUUGAGUGAAGAAGAAGCUGCCGUAGAACUUUGGCGCUUUAAGAUUGAUAAAGCAGCAGAUCUAUUCAUUAUGAAUUCAAAAAACCAGUUAAAUAUUGGAGCAAGUCUUAAACGUUGAAAAUAAAAAAGAAACCUUGUUAAACUUCUUAAUAAACAAUUGUUUGUUGAUUCCGUAA